GUGUUUGAUUCUAUGCAAACUCAGUGACCUUCCUUGUUACUCAGCUAUAAAAACUUCAGAUCAGACUGUCAGUGGAGUUCACAGCUCGUCAGCUUCACCAUAAACCAUGUUUUCUGUAGCUCUGCUGCUGCUGUUGGCAGCUGGAUCCUGUGUGAAGUGUGAACAGUUGACACAGCCAGCCUCUGUGACUGUGCAGCCAGGUCAACGUCUCACCAUCACCUGUCAGGUCUCUUAUUCUGUUAGCAGCUACUACACAGCUUGGAUCAGACAGCCUGCAGGGAAAGGACUGGAGUGGAUUGGAAGUGCUGCUACUGGAUACACAACAUACUAUAAAAAUUCACUAAAGAACAAAUUCAGUAUUGAAACAGACUCUUCCAGCAAAACAGUGACUCUAAAUGGACAGAAUGUGCAGCCUGAAGACACUGCUGUGUAUUACUGUGCCAGACACACACAAUAACA